rnacentral:rRNA from 1 species
UACGAAGGGGGCUAGCGUUGCUCGGAAUGACUGGGCGUAAAGGGCGCGUAGGCGGAUUGUACAGUCAGGCGUGAAAUUCCCGGGCUCAACCUGGGGGCUGCGCUUGAGACGUGCGAUCUUGAGUGGGGAAGAGGGUCGUGGAAUUCCCAGUGUAGAGGUGAAAUUCGUAGAUAUUGGGAAGAACACCGGUGGCGAAGGCGGCGACCUGGUCCUUGACUGCCGCUGAGGCGCGAAAGCGUGGGGAGCAAACAGG